rfam:Stegodyphus mimosarum contig27535, whole genome shotgun sequence.
GCCUUCGUGGUGUAGUAGUCAGCACGCUCGACGUGUAACUGAGAAGUCAGUGGUUCGAUUCCCAGCUAAGGCG